rnacentral:lncRNA from 1 species
CAGCGCUCCGGGCGGCCCGAACCGGUCCGGUGCCGGAGCGGGUUCGGCGCGGCCGGACCUCGCCGUGACCCCGUUGGGUACAAAUACCACCGACAUUCCCUGCCUGAAAGUAAUGAAAUACGGGAUGGGCGCCUCAGGGAUGGGUCCGUUUCUCCAGGUAAGGCGAAUUCCUCCUGGAAGGACAACGCGGGAGCAGCCCAAGCCAUGCUGAACGGUUGCUGAUUGAGGAGCCGGCGGCGGGCCCGGCCCGCAGGAGCCGCUGCUGUCACAACACGGGAAGAGGAGGAGGAGGAGGAGGAAGAGAGAGAAAGACAGAACUAAAAACCCUUGAAGGAUGGCUCUCCAAAAUUCCUGGCGGAACCACGGGGAAUCCCUGGGAGCGCGGGAGCAGAGAUGGCCGUGCCCGGAGGUGUUUGAUGAGCAGAUUGGGUCUUUAUCUCGGCGCUGGAGAGCAGCGGGUGUGGGAGACGCCAGAGCUUUGCAGGAUUUCUGCUGUUUGUUUGUUUUCUUCUGCUGAAAUCCGUCUGCCUUUUCACUGCUCUGUACAGAAUUUUGUAGGGGCUGAAUGUGUUUCUGCUUUAUGGAUGGUUUUUCAUAUCAUCAGAUUAAACAUAUUGAAAGUUAAGGAGAAACUAUUUUAAAAUAAUCCCCUCUCUUUUAUUCAGUCUGUUUACCAGCAGCACUCCCUAUAAAAUACAUAUUCAUGCCAGAUUCUUUUGUUAUCCUUUCCAGGUCAGACCCAACAUUAGGAACGCAAACAAUUUUGCUUUUGCUAUCCCAGUGCCCGUUCCUCAGGAUUUACUGAAAUGCUCUUAGUGAAGUGAUUGUUGUCACAAUAGUUUCCUCUGCAAUUUAAUUAAUUAAGCCAAAAAAUUAAAGCUUGCAGAUAAUAUUUUAUUUGAAAGUGUUUUUACGUUUAUGUUGUGGAACAGCAACCCCGGGGGUCAGCAGCCCCUCGGACCCAGCCCUGCUCUGCCUUUCAGAGCUGCCUCCCUCAUCUGCAUAUUUGCAAAUAAGAAAAAUGUUUAAUACUAUGCAAAAUGAACAACAAACCUAGACCGUAACAGGAGAAUGGAAAUUAAUGGCAAAAAAAAGGAUCAAACCAGUUCACACGAAUGCUCUGAUCCGACAUCAAUGCCGUGUUAUUUAAUGCAAACCUCGAUUCCGGCUGUUCCAUCUCACUCCUGACACGAACAUCGCGCAGUUUAAACAUCUGUCCAGCCGUUAAAGACCCUAUUGAUGCUGCGUUAUUGGAUUUCUAAUUUCCAGGUUUUGUCAGGGGGUUUAACAGACUAUAUGAGUGUUUAUAAUUUCUAAUGAGUUUAAUCUCUAAUUUGCUUCUAUUACCUGGGACUGUCAAAUCCCUUUCCCAGCACUUGCUCUGUAAAAUUUCAAAAUACAGAAAUGCAGGUUUCUAAAGAACCCAAAAUAUUUGUCAUAUCUUUUAUAUACAAAUAUGUGUGCAGUAAACAGAACUAUACAUUCUUAUUCUCUUUGAAGAUCAAGCCUGAUUUUAAUCCUGCCUAUCUGCUGCAAUCACAAUAUAUUACCUAAACCCAAGUUUCUUUGAGGACUUUUUGGAUAGAUGUCAUUAUUUCAAUGGAGAUAAAAUAGGGUGUGUUUUAGGAUACUGCAUUAUUG